GUAUGGUUAGUGGCAGACGGGUGCGUAACACGUGGGUGACCUGCCCUCAAGUGGGGAACAACUCCGCUAACGCGGAGCUAAUACCGCAUAUGUUCGCUUUUUCGGUAGAGCGAGUAAAGCAGUAAUGCGCUUGGGGAUGGGCCUGCGGCGGAUUAGCUAGUUGGUGGGGUAACGGCCUACCAAGGCGAUGAUCCGUAGGGGGCGUGAGAGCGUGGCCCCCCACACUGGCACUGAGACACGGGCCAGACUCCUACGGGAGGCAGCAGUGAGGAAUAUUGCACAAUGGGCGGAAGCCUGAUGCAGCAGCGCCGCGUGAGGGACGAAGGCCUUCGGGUCGUAAACCUCUUUUCUGGGGGACGAGUAAGGACGGUACCUCAGGAAUAAGUCUCGGCUAACUACGUGCCAGCAGCCGCGGUAAAACGUAGGAGGCGAGCGUUAUCCGGAUUUACUGGGCGUAAAGCGUACGCAGGUGGCUUCGUGAGUCGGACAUGAAAGCUCCCGGCUUAACUGGGAGAGGUUGUUCGAUACUGCGGGGCUUGAGGUUGGGAGAGGGACGUGAAUUCCCGGUGUAGUGGUGGAAUGCGUAGAUAUCGGGAGGAACACCAGUGGCGCAAGCGGCGUCCUGGCCCACACCUGACGCUGAGGUACGAAAGCGUGGUAGCAAACAGAUUAGAUACCCUGGUAGUCCACGCUGUAAACGAUGUCAACUGGGGUGUCGGUAGUUUUACACUAUCGGUGCCGAAGCCAACGCGUAAGUUGACGCUGCGACUACCGCCGCAAGCUAAAACUCAAGGAUGGACCGGGACCCGCACAGCAGCGGAGCG
rnacentral:rRNA from 1 species